GAACGAACGCUGGCGGCGCGCCUAAUACAUGCAAGUCGAGCGAGAAGACGUAGCAAUACGUUUGUAAAGCGGCGAACGGGUGAGGAAUACAUGGGUAACCUACCCUCGAGUGGGGAAUAACUAGCCGAAAGGUUAGCUAAUACCGCGUACGCUCCCUGGACUUCGGUUCAGGGAGGAAAGCGAUACCGUGGGUAUCGCGCUCUUGGAUGGGCUCAUGUCCUAUCAGCUUGUUGGUGAGGAACGGCUCACCAAGGCUUCGACGGGUAGCUGGUCUGAGAGGACGAUCAGCCACACUGGCACUGCGACACGGGCCAGACUCCUACGGGA
rnacentral:rRNA from 1 species